rnacentral:rRNA from 1 species
GACGAACGCUGGCGGCGUGCUUAACACAUGCAAGUCGUACGGUAAGGCCCUUUCGGGGGUACACGAGUGGCGAACGGGUGAGUAACACGUGAGUAACCUGCCCACAACUUUGGGAUAACGCUAGGAAACUGGUGCUAAUACUGGAUAUGUGCUCCUGCUGCAUGGUGGGGGUUGGAAAGCUCCGGCGGUUGUGGAUGGACUCGCGGCCUAUCGGCUUGUUGGUGGGGUAGUGGCCUACCAAGGCGGCGACGGGUAGCCGGCCUGCGAGGGUGACCGGCCACAUUGGGACUGAGAUACGGCCCAGACUCCUACGGGUGGCAGCAGUGGGGAAUAUUGCACAAGGGGCGCAAGCCUGAUGCAGCAACGCCGCGUGCGGGAUGACGGCCUUCGGGUUGUAAACCGCUUUCAGCAGGGACGAAGCUUUUUGUGACGGUACCUGCAGAAGAAGCACCGGCUAACUACGUG